rnacentral:pre_miRNA from 1 species
AUAGACCUCACCUGGGGAUCUUGUUAAACUACAGAUUCUGAUGCACAUGGUCUGGGGAGUGGCCUGAGAGUCUAUAUUUCUAACAAGUUCCCAGGUGAUGUGUAC